AUGCCUGGCCGCAACUUGGGCGCUGCUGGAGCAAAGGAGGAGGGGGAGCAUGCCAGGCCGCCCAAGAUUGACGUGCAGACGCUCUACGUGCUGUACAUGGUGCUUUUCAUGAUGAUCUGGAUGUCCUUGUUUCGGUUUCGGUAUCCGCAGCACGCCGAGUUCCUCCGCUACACCCCGGCCGUGGAAGCCCUGGCCGCCUGCUUCUUCUUCACGUUCGUCACCGUCAUGCUGCAGGCGCUGCUCGCCGUCGCGCUGUCGGAGAAGCCCGCCCCGUCGCCGCUUCCGCCUCCGGUGAACCAGUGGAUCAUGGCCCUCUCCGUGUGGCUGUUCGGGGUCCUCUACUACCUGGUCUACGCCUCCAUGAGCGACGGGUAUGCGGCGGAGCCGAGUAACUCGGGCCUGAUCAUCGCCGGGGUCGCCAGUGUUGUGAGCCUCGCCGUGACCGUCUACAACAUUCGGCAGCGCCCCGUCUUUGCUUAG
rnacentral:rRNA from 1 species